ACUGUUAUGCUGCCCUUGGGAGACUCAAACAGCAUAGCAAAUAUAUACGACCGAUGUAAUUGCGUUCGAUCCUGGAGGUCACUGAGGACUUGGUGAGCUGGGACAGAAUACAGGGAAGAAAUAGAUUCCAUCUUUAAAAUCAUCCUUCUCGAUUUCCACUUGCUUUUCUGUGGGAAAUUACCCUACUCCGUGUGCCUUGUUUUAACCUUUACAAUACAUGAAUACACAAAUGAAGGGAUGGUUGAGUGGUAUCACAUUAGGCCCAAAUGCUGCCUGUAUUAGUGAUGCAGUAAGAGUCUAACAUAGAAAGCAGCGAUGCCAACUAGCAUCGCUGAAACUUAAGACCUUCUUCCCUUCGUUGGUAUUGACGUCUAUUGUUAUUGCUAUCAUUAUUAUCAUCGUUAUUGUAAAGCAAUAAGGAGAACCUGGUGAGUAGCUUUGGUUAUCACUGAGGCCUGUUUCAGUGAUACACUUUUGAAUACUUCCUGCAUAUAAGGAUUUUAUUUCUCAGACUUUAGUAUCUUUGGAAUUGUUUUUAUUGAGGAACAACAAGAAAGAGUUAAUAAAGAUGGGUAUUAUCUACUAUUUAAAAAAAGAUAUUGGUCAAGAGAGUCCGAAGUAGCCUCAGUGUCCAGCUCCAGCCAUGUCAGAAGGGGCAGAGCCCAACAGUGUUCAUUUCUUAUUACAGGGUGCUUAGUGCAGGGUGCUUAGUACAGGGUGCUUAUUACAGGGUGCUUAGUACAGGGUGCUUAUUAUAGGGUGUUUAGUACAGGGUGCUUAGUACAGGGUGCUUAGUACAGGGUGCUUAGUACAGGGUGCUUAAUACAGGGUGCUUAGUACAGGGUGCUUUGUACAGGGUUUCUUAGACAAGGUAGACAGCCUAAGAAACAUGAUCGUCAGAGGAGUGCUUUGUUUAGUUUGUUUGCGACUGGAGCCUCAUUCCCCAACUCCUACAAAUGCCAGUUGCAGCAUUUUCUGUGGAAUAAGGAGGAUUCACGAGCUGUGUACCACCAUGAGAUGAUAGCAUGUGAUGCAGCGUAUAAAAUGAAAUGUGGGUCCUUCUCAGGAGCUGACGGCUGUUCAAGUGCACACAUCAGUCCCCCCAUCUGUUUGUCUCUCUCUCAUAGACACACAACAAUUGAGAAGUGCAGAUUGAUGGACGGGAUUCUAUCCUUGUCACCACUUCAUCUUUAAAAUAUGUUUCCUCUUUAAAGGGGGACUGUAAAAGACAGUCAGAGAAAUUGGCUUGGGGGAUGGGAUUCGGCCCACUGCUAUUUUUUCCUUAUCACUAAAACCUUAAGCAGAGAGCAUAAUCACCUAUCUCCCCCAGGGCAGCCCUAAGCCCUGAAAACUCAGCUCUGUUUAGGGAUUUAAUAGAACUGGAAAGAAGAAAUAAGCAAGAUCUGCUCCAGCACACCAACAAAGGAAACAUUUUCACAAAUAUUAGACAGAGAGGAGUUCUCAGCACACACCUCGCCCUCCCUCUCUCCAGAAGCAGCUAGAGCACAGCUCUGAAUUCAGCAUCCUAUCACUCUCAGCAUCUUGGGGGUCUUUGGAUCAUGUCUGAGGCUCCAGAACAGCUGGGUGCAUUUUCUUAACAAAGCAAGAUGUAACUGGCGUGAAUCAAAGCCUCCUUUGGUCGAGGUUGUCACAGUGUUCAUUGAAGGACUUCAUUGUCUGUUAGGUUGGAGUCACAGAGAUAUUGACUUCCCCCCAGUUGCUUCUAAAUAGCUUGGAAUUUCUUUUGUUAAGGUUUUUAGAUGAAAAUAUCUUGGUGUUAUGCUGUGCAAUGUGACUUUUCUUUCUUGAUGCCUAAAGCAAAGGAUAUUAGGUUGCCUUUCUUCUGUCUUACUUUGCUGAGAAAAUGUAUCCAAAGUCCCCAUGAUGCCUACAUACACACACCACAGCACAUACAGACACACACCAUACACACACAACACAUGCAUGUAACACACACUCAUGCACACAUACAACACACAUACAGCACAUGCACACACAAUACACAAUAUACAUACACAACAUGACCAAUACACAAACACUUCACUCAGAAUAACUGUUUUCAAUAUAUGGAUACAAGGUGGGUAUGAGAGUGAUUUUCAGAGAAAAUUAGAAACAAAGAAAUGCAUCAAAGAGUAUUUUAAAAAUUCCUGUAAAAGAUAAUACAAAACCAAACAAAGUCACACUGACUUACAGAAACUAGGAACAGAACAAUGUUAGGAAAGCUAGUGAUAGGAAACUUCUAGGCUGGUCCAGGCUUCUACCACAGUGGUUCUCUUGGGCUAAUCACCCAUGUCCCCAGCAACCCGGUUGGAUCUGGCUCGUGAGUAUUCUGCCUGCUGAAUUAGUCUUGUCACACAGAAGUCAGCUGUAGUAUCACUUCCUGGCCAGACCUCAAUGGCUGCUUAAAAGAGCAGACACAUGGCUGAGCCACCCUAAUUCCUGAAUCCUUUAGCUCUUAUAGCUUUUAUUUUCUUCAUAACUUUUACCAUGAAGUUUAUUUUACCAUUAUCUGAACUCCUGGUUUCUGUGUCUUUUCUCUUUCCCACUGACACCCUAAACUCCAUGAGACCAGAGGCCAUGAUAGCCUUGUUUACAACAAGCAUCCAAGGCCCUUAAAGUCCUGGAGCUACACUGUAGCUAUCUGUGAAAUCAAUUGCCAGAUUGUUGGGUUUUAACCUGUAGUUAUCAUAUCUAGCUUCUAGAGAUGGGAAUAGAAGAAAAUGGGGAGACAAGAUUAUGCCAAGGUCCUAUAUAUUAAAUUGUGCAUUUAACAUAGAUGUACCUAGGAUAGAGGGUAGGAGGGAGAGUGUGUUAAUGUGAUUAAAAACAGGAUCCCAUUGAAAGAUUCAGAGGUAAUAUCUUAAAAUUUUUACCAGGUUCAAGUUCUUGUCUUGUCUCUUAUGAGAGGACAAUGUUGGUGUAAGGAUCAGGGAAAGGUGUGGGCAUUGAAUGAUUAUGUGUUGGGGCCUCAGCCCAAAUAUCUCAUUGGACGGAGCUUACAGCUUAGUAUAAGGAAGGAACAUGACAAAUGUGACUGGCAAUGCAUAGCACCUUGCUCCUUAGUUGAAGACAUAUCUGGGUUAAUUAAAGGAAAGCAAAUCUGAGAAGCACUCUGGAAAGUGAGAGCCACAAGAAAAAGUCUAUCCUCAGACUUCUCAGAACUCCCUUUGCACCCUUUGGCACAGCAGCUCCGCCCAUCAGUCUUCCUGGCUCCGCCCAGGUCCUACUUUUCACUAGUUUGUGUGCAAUGCUGAGAGUGAGGCUUUGGUGCCUUAGAGCAACCGCAGUCCUUCAAUCACUGAGGGUCAAGAACUUUAGAGAAAAUGCUCCACUAAAAUCCUUUAGUGGAGAGUCCCAUUCUGCUUGAGAAUGGAAACACUGGGUGGAGUGUUGUUUGUUGGUCAGUGUUAAGGACCUGGAUUAGAGCCUCAGCACUGAAGAAGAAAAGGAAGGAGUGAUGGAAGAAUGAAAGGAAGGGGAGGGGAGGGAAGUGAAAAAGGAAAGGAAAGG
rnacentral:lncRNA from 1 species